rnacentral:rRNA from 1 species
CGAAGCUGCGGCAGCGACACUAUGUGUUGUUGGGUAGGGGAGCGUUCUGUAAGCCGUUGAAGGUGGCCUGUGAGGGUUGCUGGAGGUAUCAGAAGUGCGAAUGCUGACAUAAGUAACGAUAAUGCGGGUGAAAAACCCGCACGCCGGAAGACCAAGGGUUCCUGUCCAACGUUAAUCGGGGCAGGGUGAGUCGACCCCUAAGGCGAGGCCGAAAGGCGUAGUCGAUGGGAAACAGGUUAAUAUUCCUGU